UCAUAGCGAGAAAAGAAACUAACAAGGAUUCCCCUUAGUAACCUGCGAGUGAAGCGGGAAAAGCUCAAAUUUAAAAUCUGGCGGCUUUGGUCGUCCGAGUUGUAUUCUAGAGAAGCGUUUUCCGCGUUGGACCGUGUACAAGUCUCUUGGAAUAGAGCGUCAUAGAGGGUGAGAAUCCCGUCUUUGACACGGACUACCAGUGCUUUGUGAUGCGCUCUCAAAGAGUCGAGUUGUUUGGGAAUGCAGCUCAMAAUGGGUGGUAAAUUCCAUCUAAAGCUAAAUAUUGGCGAGAGACCGAUAGCGAACAAGUACCGUGAGGGAAAGAUGAAAAGCACUYUGGAAAGAGAGUUAAACAGUACGUGAAAUUGCUGAAAGGGAAACGCUUGAAGUCAGUCGCGUUGGUUAGAACUCAACCAGGCUUGCUUGGUGCAUUUUCUAUCUAACGGGCCAGCAUCAGUUUUGACUGUAGGAAAAAGAUCAGAGAAAUGUGGCACCUUCGGGUGUGUUAUAGUCUUUGGUUGCAUACUAUGGUUGGGACUGAGGAUCUCAGCACGCAUCUGUUGUGCUUAGGAUGCUGGCGUAAUGGCUUUAAACGACCCGUCUUGAAACACGGACCAAGGAGUCUAACAAACCUGCGAGUGUUUGGGUGGUAAACCCGAGCGCGUAAUGAAAGUGAAAGUUGGGAUCCCUGUCGCGGGGAGCACCGACGCCCGGACCAGACCUUUUGUGACGGAUCUGCGGUAGAGCAUGUUUGUUGGGACCCGAAAGAUGGUGAACUAUGCCUGAAUAGGGUGAAGCCAGAGGAAACUCUGGUGGAGGCUCGUAGCGAUUCUGACGUGCAAAUCGAUCGUCAAAUUUGGGUAUAGGGGCGAAAGACUAA
rnacentral:rRNA from 1 species